CGCUGCUCUAGUGAUGGAUAGCCCCUUAGAGGUCUUAGCAGAAGUGAUGGGUCAUGGGCCUCAGAGAGCCCAGAGCAGGGUGUGGGAGCAGGAAGACAGAAUAGCGAGGGAAGGCCAAGGAAGCUGAAACAAAUUAGUGAUCUGGAGUCCCAGUCCCUGGUGUUGAGCUGAAAAGGAUGUCUAUAGGAAGUCCUUGGGCCAUCCCAAAAAGCAGUGACAUCAGAGACCAGAAGGGAGGACGUGCGUGUGAAGACAACUUGAAAGCUGACCGUGCUGGGACACUGGUGCUGAAGCAAAGUGCAUCUGUGUGUAAUGGAAAUAAAAU